rnacentral:rRNA from 1 species
GGCUAAACGCUGGCGGCGUGUCUUAGCCAUGCAAGUCGAGCGGACUUAUGGGGUAACUUAUAAGUCAGCGGCGGACGGCGGAGUAACACGUAGCUAACCUACCCUCUGGACGGGGGAUAACCUACCCGAAAGGUGGGCUAAUACCCGAUGUAGUCAUCCUGUAUAGGGGUGAUGAAAGGUGGGCUUCUGUUUACAAGCUCAUGCUGGAGGAGGGGGCUGCGGCCUAUCAGGUAGUUGGUAGGGUAAUAACCUACCAAGCCGAUGACGGGUAGCCGGCCUGAGAGGGUGACCGGCCCGAGGGGCACUGAGAUACGGGUCCCACUCCUACGGGAGGCAGCAGGCUAGAAAUUUGGGCAAUGGGGGAAACCCUGACCCAGUGACGCCGCGUGCAGGAAGGAGCCCUUCGGGGUGUAAACUGCUGUCGUGUAGGGAGAAGGGGUACUAAGGUGAACAAUCUUAGUACUUGACGGUACUACAGGAGGAAGCCCAGGCUAACCUCGUG